rnacentral:rRNA from 2 species
AGAGUUUGAUCAUGGCUCAGGACGAACGCUGGCGGCGUGCCUAAUACAUGCAAGUCGAGCGGACCGAACGAGAGCUUGCUCUUGUUCGGUCAGCGGCGGACGGGUGAGUAACACGUGGGCAACCUGCCCGCAAGACCGGGAUAACUCCGGGAAACCGGAGCUAAUACCGGAUAACACCAAAAGACCGCAUGGUCUUUGGUUGAAAGGCGGCUUCGGCUGCCACUUGCGGAUGGGCCCGCGGCGCAUUAAGCUAGUUGGUGAGGUAACGGCUCACCAAGGCGACGAUGCCGUAGCCGGCCUGAGAGGGUGACCGGCCACACUGGGACUGAGAACCCGGCCCAGACUCCUACGGGAGGCCGCAGUAGGGAAUCUUCCCGCAUGGACGAAGUCUGAACGGAGCGACGCCGCCUGCAGCGAAAACACGGCUUUCGGGUCC